rnacentral:rRNA from 1 species
UGGGGAAUAUUGGACAAUGGGCGAAAGCCUGAUCCAGCAAUACCGCGUGUGUGAAGAAGGCCUGAGGGUUGUAAAGCACUUUCAAUAGGAAGGAACACCUAUCGGUUAAUACCCGGUAGACUGACAUUACCUAUACAAGAAGCACCGGCUAACUCCGUGCCAGCAGCCGCGGUAAUACGGAGGGUGCAAGCGUUAAUCGGAAUUACUGGGCGUAAAGCGUGCGUAGGCGGUCAUUUAAGUCAGAUGUGAAAGCCCUGGGCUUAACCUGGGAACUGCAUUUGAUACUGAAUGACUCGAGUUGAGUAGAGGAGAGUGGAAUUUCAGGUGUAGCGGUGAAAUGCGUAGAGAUCUGAAGGAACACCAGUGGCGAAGGCGGCUCUCUGGACUCAAACUGACGCUG